UGAUAUGAUUGGUGAUACACUGGGUGAGGUCUUGCAAAAAACCUCAAUACUCCACAAGGAAAAAGAUGAAGAGCUUAAGAAAAAAUUUGCCAAAGAAUUUUAAGAAGAGGUUCUACUAAAUGCAUUAAAUCUCUUGGAAAAAACCUCAAGUAUUCCAAGGGAAAAUAUUUUGUUCCUGAUAAGCUGACCUAUGCUGAUGUAAACUUUUUUGCCACUAUGGAUCUGCUUUUCCUGGAAAUAAAAGAAGAUAUUCCACCCAUUUUGGAUAAUUAUCCUUGUUUAAAUGAACUUUA